UACGAAGGGGGCUAGCGUUGCUCGGAAUUACUGGGCGUAAAGGGCGCGUAGGCGGACAGUUUAGUCAGAGGUGAAAGCCCAGGGCUCAACCUUGGAAUUGCCUUUGAUGCUGAGGGCCUUGAGACCGGAAGAGGUCGGCGGAACUGCGAGUGUAGAGGUGAAAUUCGUAGAUAUUCGCAAGAACACCAGUGGCGAAGGCGGCCGACUGGUCCGGUUCUGACGCUGAGGCGCGAAAGCGUGGGGAGCAAACAGG
rnacentral:rRNA from 1 species